AUCGUUAACACAGGAGUGAAGAGUAGAAGCCAUUCUGGUCAGUCAUACUUGAAGCCAUUCUCUGAUUCUCUGGUCAUCUCCGUCACCACUCUGACCACGCCUCCGGUUCCUGCUGCGUUCACGUGACGAAGAACCCUCUCCACUGAAGCGAAUUCUUUCAUGAUCGUCACUUUUCAGUCUCCAUCCCCAACAUUAAGAAAUGGGGUCACAAAAAGGCUGUUCCAGCUUCAGACCUCUCAUCCGCAUCCCUGCCUGAACAAAGAAGAAAUACAACAUGAAAAUAGGGCCUGUGCCCCUGUAAGGUGCUUUCCUGAGAACUCUGUUGUUGUUGGCUGAACUGUGCUUUCCCCUACAAAUUCAUAUUUUGGAUUCCUAACUCCCAGUAUCUCAGAAUGUGACUGUAUUUGGAGAUAGGGUCUUAAAAAGGUAAUUAAGUUAAAAUGAGGUCAUUUUAUUUAUUUUUAUUUGAGUCAUGUCCUUUUAUGAAGAGGAGACUAAGAUAGACACACACAGAGGAAAGACCAUGUGAUAGAAGGAGAAGGUGGCAAUCUACAAGCCAAUGAAAGAGGCUUUGGAAGAGACUAACUCAGCAGACAUUUUGGUCUCAGACUUCUAGCCACCAUAAUUGUGAAAAAAUAAAUUUCUAUUGUUUAAGCCACCAACUCUGUAAUAUUUUGUUAUGGCACCCUAGGAUCACAUACUCAGUAAUUUUUUUUUCUUACAUCACAUUAAUUAGAAGUGUCAUUUGGUUAUCCUUAGAUGCAAGGAAGGCUUGCAUCUAAGAAAUAUGUUUUUUUUUUAAUUGAGUACAUUGCUGCCCCUAUCAAAACCAAGAUUCUGGUACUAAGGGCAGAGAGCCUAGUAAAUAAUGGAUAUUCUCCCUUCUGAGUUCUAAGCUCUUUACUUGUAUAAUCUUAUUUAAUCCUUAUAAUAAGUUUGAAAUAUUUUACAAAUAUAUAAAUUAAGAAGUCAAAUAAAAAGUUACCUAGUUAGUACAUAAAGCAACCUGACUGGACCAUAAGCUAUCUGACUCUAGAACCCACAAUCUAAGUUAUCUCAAUAUUUUGCUCCCUAUUAUAAGUAAUACCAUAUUUAAGCUCCUAACACAUAUACUUUUUUGCAUUUGAGAGAUGAUAUCUUUAGAAACUAGAUUUUUAGGAUUCCUAGGAUCACAACUACUGGAAUUCAUGCUGUUAUUAAUAGUUUAAAUGAGAAUGUGCUAGUUAAAUUACCUUCUAAAAAGGCAUUAUCAAAUGACACUCCCACCAACAAUUUAUUUGUGUCCAUUUUGUCCCCAGUGCUGGGAAUUAACAAUCUCAUGAGUAUUUUGCUAAUCUAAUGGGUCAAAAAAAGAUAUAACAUUAUUUUUUAUUAAAGAUUUUAUUUAUUUAUUUGAGAGAGAAAGAGUGUGAGAGAGAGAGUGAGAGAGCACAACCGGAAGGGGGCAGAGGGAGAGGGAGAA